rnacentral:tRNA from 1 species
GCCUCCGUAGCUCAGGGGAUAGAGCGCCGGUUUCCGGUACCGUAGGUCGGGGUUCGAAUCCCUCCGGGGGCAC